rnacentral:rRNA from 1 species
CCUACGGGAGGCAGCAGUGGGGAAUAUUGCUCAAUGGGCGAAACCCUGAUGCAGCGACGCCGCGUGAGUGAAGAAGUAUUUCGGUAUGUAAAGCUCUAUCAGCAGGGAAGAAAAUGACGGUACCUGAGUAAGAAGCCCCGGCUAACUACGUGCCAGCAGCCGCGGUCAUACGUAGGGGGCAAGCGUUAUCCGGAUUUACUGGGUGUAAAGGGAGCGUAGACGGCAGCACAAGUCUGGAGUGAAAUGCCGGGGCUUAACCCCGGAACUGCAUUGGAAACUGUGCAGCUAGAGUGCAGGAGAGGUAAGUGGAAUUCCUAGUGUAGCGGUGAAAUGCGUAGAUAUUAGGAAGAACACCAGUGGCGAAGGCGGCUUACUGGACUGUAACUGACGCUGAGGCUCGAAAGCGUGGGGAGCAAACAGGAUUAGAUACCCCUGUAGUC